rnacentral:rRNA from 1 species
GAUGAACGCUGGCGGCGUGCCUAAUACAUGCAAGUCGAGCGAACGGACGAGAAGCUUGCUUCUCUGAUGUUAGCGGCGGACGGGUGAGUAACACGUGGAUAACCUACCUAUAAGACUGGGAUAAUUUCGGGAAACCGGAGCUAAUACCGGAUAAUAUUUUGAACCGCAUGGUUCAAAAGUGAAAGACGGUCUUGCUGUCACUUAUAGAUGGAUCCGCGCUGCAUUAGCUAGUUGGUAAGGUAACGGCUUACCAAGGCAACGAUGCAUAGCCGACCUGAGAGGGUGAUCGGCCACACUGGAACUGGGACACGGUCCAGACUCCUACGGGAGGCAGCAGUAGGGAAUCUUCCGCAAUGGGCGAAAGCCUGACGGAGCAACGCCGCGUGAGUGAUGAAGGUCUUCGGAUCGUAAAACUCUGUUAUUAGGGAAGAACAUAUGUGUAAGUAACUGUGCACAUCUUGACGGUACCUAAUCAGAAAGCCACGGCUAACUACGUG